rnacentral:rRNA from 1 species
CAGCCGCCGCGGGAAUACGAAGGGUGCAAGCGUUACUCGGAAUUACUGGGCGUAAAGCGUGCGUAGGUGGUGGUUUAAGUCCGUUGUGAAAGCCCUGGGCUCAACCUGGGAAUUGCAGUGGAUACUGGGUCACUAGAGUGUGGUAGAGGAUAGUGGAAUUUCCGGUGUAGCAGUGAAAUGCGUAGAGAUCGGAAGGAACAUCUGUGGCGAAGGCGACUAUCUGGGCCAACACUGACACUGAGGCACGAAAGCGUGGGGAGCAAACAGGAUUAGAUACCCCUGUAGUCCUUGUCUCUUAUAC